rnacentral:misc_RNA from 1 species
UUAAGUUCAGCGGGUAGUCCUACCUGAUUUGAGGUCAAAAUUGUCAUUUGUAGUCUGUCCAAGUCAAUGGACUGUUAGAAGCAGCAUGACCCCCAUAUAUAACGUGGGCGUCUAAUGGCGUAGAUAGUUAUCACACCAAUAGCCGUUUACCACAAGGGUACCGCUAAUACAUUUCAGGGGAGCUGACUGUGAAAGCCUGC